AUGGUGACCACAUCCGGCUCCUCGCUCCCGCCUCGCGCUCUCUAUGGUCGCGGUUGCACGGCUCAACUCGGAGGCUGUGUCUCCCAGCACCAAGGCUGGUGAACCCCAACUGGACCAGAGGUGUUCCCCCACUCCAGCUCAGCCCUGUUAGCUCUAAAGAAAGAUGCCCCGGGCUAGCCUCAGAUUCAUCCUGUGGCUUUAAGACGGGAGAAUUGCUGGAGACAGGCCGUAGACAGUAACGUAAUGCGGUAAGUCUCAAGGCAGAGAAGCAAGGGAUUGACGACUCGCCGUGUGCAGGUGCUCGACAACAAGACUGCAGACCUGAGUCUGUGCCUCUGAUACACACACAGAUACACACACACACACUCACACACAUAAAUAUAGAAGUAAGUGUGCAGGUGCUCACCACCAAGACUGCAGACCUGAGUCUGUGCCUCUGAUACACACACACACACACACACACACACACAUACACACACACAUACACACACAUAUAAGUAAGUGUGCAGGUGCUCGCCACCAAGACUGCAGAUCUGAGCUCUGUGCCUCUGCUACACACACACACACACACACACACACACACACACACACACAUAUGAAAUAUAGAAGUAACUGGAAAAACCAAGCGGGAAGAAUCUAAUUAGGCUGUGAUAUAUGGACGUGCUGAGAUGCCAAGUUCCAGCAAGAUUUAUCCAGACGUAAAGAAGAGUUUUCCUGGCAAGGAGAGCACAGGAAAGCCCUGAGAGAUCGAGGAGAUUGACCAAGGAAGGCCAGGGCAAGCUAGAGCCAAGUGCAAAACAGCCCAAGGGAAGUAUGUAAGACAGAAGCAAGUUCUCAGAGAAGAAUUCAUUCUCCAACCACAGCCAGGUUACAGUCUGGUGAGAGCUCGUGGAGACAGGAGCAGCCCAUUCAGCCUGAGGUAGAGGUAAGAAGCUAGUGGCCAGCUGCUUUGCUUUUCGGAUAUUUAGCUUGAAGCUUGAAACCCAAUAUCAGUCUCUGGGUCAUUUAAUAUUACUUCGUGUUACAGUGGUCCUUUUACUUUAGACUCAAAUUUUGUUGGGUUGGUUUUCGUUGUUGUUGUUUUCUUUUCUUUUUCUGGGGG